CCUACGGGAGACAGUAGUGGGGAAUAUUGCACAAUGGGGGAAACCCUGAUGCAGCGACGCCGCGUGAGUGAAGAAGUAUUUCGGUACGUAAAGCUCUAUCAGCAGGGAAGAAAAUGACGGUACCUGACUAAGAAGCCCCGGCUAACUACGUGCCAGCAGCCGCGGUAAUACGUAGGGGGCAAGCGUUAUCCGGAUUUACUGGGUGUAAAGGGAGCGUAGACGGCAGCGCAAGUCUGGAGUGAAAUCCCAUGGCUUAACCAUGGAACUGCUUUGGAAACUGUGCAGCUAGAGUGCAGGAGAGGUAAGCGGAAUUCCUAGUGUAGCGGUGAAAUGCGUAGAUAUUAGGAGGAACACCAGUGGCGAAGGCGGCUUACUGGACUGUAACUGACGUUGAGGCUCGAAAGCGUGGGGAGCAAACAGGAUUAGAUACCCUGGUAGUC
rnacentral:rRNA from 1 species